UGGGGAAUUUUCCGCAAUGGGCGCAAGCCUGACGGAGCAAUACCGCGUGAGGGAGGAAGGCUUUUGGGUUGUAAACCUCUUUUCUCAAGGAAGAAGUCAGUGACGGUACUUGAGGAAUCAGCAUCGGCUAACUCCGUGCCAGCAGCCGCGGUAAUACGGAGGAUGCAAGCGUUAUCCGGAAUCAUUGGGCGUAAAGCGUCCGCAGGUGGCCUAUCAAGUCUGCUGUCAAAGACUAGAGCUUAACUCUGGAAAGGCGGUGGAAACUGGGAGGCUAGAGUACGGUAGGGGUAGAGGGAAUUCCCAGUGUAGCGGUGAAAUGCGUAGAUAUUGGGAAGAACACCAGUGGCGAAGGCGCUCUACUGGGCCGUAACUGACACUCAGGGACGAAAGCUAGGGUAGCGAAAGGGAUUAGAUACCCGCGUAGUCC
rnacentral:rRNA from 1 species